rnacentral:snRNA from 1 species
AGCUUUGCGCAGUGGCAGUAUCGUAGCCAAUGAGGUUUAUCCGAGGCGCGAUUAUUGCUAAUUGAAACAGAAACUCCCUAAAUUGUUUUGUAGCUAACAUAACUUAGUAACAAUCCUACCUAGGU